rnacentral:rRNA from 1 species
CCUACGGGAGGCAGCAGUAGGGAAUUUUCCACAAUGGGCGAAAGCCUGAUGGAGCAAUGCCGCGUGCAGGAUGAAGGCCUUCGGGUCGUAAACUGCUUUUAUGUGCGAAGAAUUUGACGGUAACACAUGAAUAAGGAUCGGCUAACUACGUGCCAGCAGCCGCGGUCAUACGUAGGAUCCAAGCGUUAUCCGGAAUUACUGGGCGUAAAGAGUUGCGUAGGUGGCAUUAUAAGUGGAGCGUGAAAGCGUGCGGCUCAACCGCAUUAUUGCGUUCCAAACUGUGAAGCUUGAGUAUGGGAGAGGUAGAUGGAAUUUCUAGUGUAGGAGUGAAAUCCGUAGAUAUUAGAAGGAACACCGAUGGCGUAGGCAGUCUACUGGCCCAUUACUGACACUAAGGCACGAAAGCGUGGGGAGCAAACGGGAUUAGAUACCCCGGUAGUCCACGCUGUAAACUAUGGAUGCUAGCUGUGACACACAUCGACUGUGUCGUAGACGAAGUAACGUACGUAAGACGACUCCGCCGUCGGGAGGUACGGUCGGCGAAGUAAGUUAAAACUUAACUUAAAUAAGUUAAGUUAGUACGGCGUUGAGACGUUAGCCGAACGGACGACGACGAACGGGGAGGUUAGGAGG